CUAGCCCUAAUCUUCAAGACCUAAGGAGCCGCACCACACCCCUUUCCCAGCCUUCUGCUCGCCUCCAACUCGCUGGUUUUCCGGUGAAUUCACUCAACGAGUCCCAUGGUCCCCUCCCCUCAUCUUCUCCUUCUUCCAUGUCAUCCCUUUCGUACCAAAUCUCAUCAUUUCAAUCUGAUUCACGCGGAUUUCUUCUUUUAUUUCUUUUGUUUAAACAAAAAAUCCUAGUCCUUGAAAUAAAUGUUGGAAAAUGGGAGCCGUUGGAUUAAAUUUUGAUCCAAGACUGCCAUUUUCUAAUUUUUGUUAAAAAUGUGAUUUUCUGAUCUUGUUGGGGGCCGCACAUGAUUUCUUGCUGAAGAAGGAGAAGCUUCGAGAGAGAUUUAUAUAUUGGAGGAUUUUCGGACAAAAAAAGGGAGGAGAAAAAAAGAAAAAGGGCGGAGAAAAGGUCUAGGGUUCUUUGAGUCUUGAGAUUUUUUUAGUGUUUUCUUUGCAUUCCAGAAAAACGAAAAAAAAAGAAGUUUAAGUUUGAUUUUUAUUCUAAGUUUUGUUUCAUUUCGAAAAAUCAGAAACAUAUUAAAAUCUUAAUUCAUUUUUUUGGAUUUCGCUUCAAAUAUGGACCUUGAUUGAGGUUGGUUGAAGCUCGUCGGAGUUGAAGUUCAUUUGCCGUUCGGGUUCCUAUUCAAAGUUCUUGUUUGCGAUUCACUUCAGUUCCUCGCCGCUGAACUUUCUUGUCCUCGCUUCUGGAAUUAAUUGAAAUUCUGAAUAUCCAGCUCCUUGAUGCAUUAUACUGGAAUCAUCUGAUGUCUCUCUAUCAAAAGGACGAAGACGCAACCGCAACAAAAGUAACAAUAUAUUCAGGGAGAGCUUUGAUGUCUCUCUAUCAAGAGGACGGAGACGCAACUGCAACAAAAAUAGCAAUAUAUUCAGGGAGAGCUUUGUGACCAUUUGUAUUUCGAUUUGUAUUUUCUCUUCUCAAAAAUUUCAUGAAUUGAGUUCAUAAUGUAAUAAGUGGCACAAUUAAUUAAUUAAUUAGGAAUACUAAAAGUUUCACAAACUCCAAA